AUCAGCUUCUAAUGAGCAGUCGGGUCAUUUGUCACCUGCACUUGUUGAGCAACACAGGAGGCGUUCAGCCACAGCCUGUGGUGGCCAAAGGGACCUUUGGUCGCAGAAGCUGAGUUUACAGUGAUGAAAUCACGAUGGAUGGGAUGGAGCAGGAGAAAUUCCAGCCCAGCCGGGUACAAAAGAAGCUCCAUGCGUGGGAGCAGCCAGGCUGCCCCGAGUCUUGCCCAGGGAUUUCCACAGCGAUGAAGGAGGAUCAAGACUGAGUAGGCACGUGGUGGAGAUCUAGACCAGCGUGAGAGCCCAGUAUCUGAACGCAGAGCUUGCUUUGGCAUUAGCAGGUACAGGCUUGGCCACUCGAAACAACAGAUAUCUUGUGAGCUAAAAUAAAGGGAUUAAGUUUCUCGUUGGCUCCUAGGGGAAACAGUGGUGGUAAUAAUGCAGUUGUGUAUUUGUUUGCUGGGAAGGAGGCUUUGUUUGCAAAGGAGGCUGCCAGAGUGAUGACUGCAGUAAACCUUCCCCAAAGUUUCCUGUGAGAACUCCUCGAUUCCCUGAACCCUCUGGAGCCCCAUAACAACACAAGUGAAGUAAUCCUGCCUCUGGGUCUUCUGUCUAACUAAUAUUUCUUCUUUCUGUUCCCACAGAUGUUUGUUGUACCUUGGUGCAUCAUCAGCUCUUUGUGGCCAAGUCUUUGUGGGCAGCUCUCUGUUGGACACUGCUCCACGGCUGACACUCCACGGGGACAAAUCUACACGGGGAGCCCCAGGCACCUGGCAGUCAGUGGUCCAGCAGAUGCCAGCGGUCCUCCCUGCCCUGACUGCCAGGCGCUUGGGGCUCCCCAUGGACACUUGUUCCCCGACAGAGUGGGUUGUGUAGAAGUGUCCUGCAGAAAGUUGUCCCUGUGGAGAGUCGAAUGUGUAGAGGUGUCCACUGAGAGCCGUCGCACGGCUUUGUCCUGCAGAGAGCUGGCCACCACCAACUGGACGCAGAGAGUUGUCCCUCUCCCAGCCUGUGCCCAAGCUGCCCGCAAACCACCACCCUGGCACUGAAGACUUUUCCUUAGACUCUCUGCAAACUUACUGCCAAAGACACAUUUUUGGCCCAUUUUUUUCCUGAUAUAAAGCUAUUUUCCACAGAUCGUAUGUGAGCCGGGAGGUGUCUCAGUGGCUCCACUCCCACCAUCCUGUGCUGAGGUUGUGCCACCCACUCCAGGAUCUACAUUUGACUGUCCUUUGUUUCUGCUAUUAAAUGCCCCGCGGUAAAUCCCGUGCCACGAGGACAUCCCAGCACUGAGGUUUGUGUUCGCUCACUUGUGGUGGUGCCAGCAUCACCAUCUGCCAAGCAGACCACGAGCUUCCCAAGGAGAAGGGGAUUCACAAGCAAGAAAUUAGGAAGGACCAACCCCUGGUGUCUGCUAUUACUAACAACCCUGCUUCCAAAGGUUGCCAUAAAGCAUCUACCGUCAGCAAAAUCAACCCUUUUAUUUUCCUUUUGCCUUCCUGAAACUUCAUUGCUCCUAAAUCAAUUUAAAAUAAAGUUUUUUGGGGGGAAAUUUUUCUUCCUAAGCAAAGACUUGGACCAUCACAAUUCUGAGUAAAUGUUUAUUGCUGAGCUAUAAAGCUCAAGUAAUGGAAAUGCUGACAAUCCUUUAUCCACAGUGGUCCCAGCUGGCCCCUCUGAUAAUAAAUUAUAGGACAUGAGGAGUAAACAGGACUUUCUGAAUCACCAGUGCUGUGUGCAACAGAGUGGUAAAAACAAGUUGGAUUUUCAGCACUGCCACAUGUUUUUCCCCCCCAGCUACUGUUUUGAUUCAAUGGUUGGAAUGCUUUAAGAUACUGUUGAGUGUGUUUAAAGAUUUUCAGACUGUGUAUAUUUCAACUUAUAUGAAUCUUUAAUAUAUCACUGCUCAGCUUCGCUCAGGAAAUUUGACAAUUAUCGUGUAACAACGAUACAGCUUUCAUAAAAACAUUGUUCUAUGAUGUACCGGCAAAAUAACAAGCUUAAAUUUGUCACAGUACUGACUGCAUGCUUGCAAUCAAUUUAGCUUUGUACGAAUGCAAAAACGUUCCCCUUGGGAACGUGCUAGAUAGAUUUUUCCAGUGCCUAUGGAACGCUAUAAAGGGAUCAAAAGUGACCCAAACCAGCAUGCAUAUGGAUGUUUCACUGCACAGUCUGUUAAAAUAUUCCCAAUUUAAAAUAUGUCUGACCAGAAAAAGUAAAAAUACUUUAAUUCCCUCAGCACAAACUGGAAAAAAUGGGGAUAAUCCACUUUCGGAGCAGUGAAUUCACAGGUUACCUUGGCAGAGCGCGGCAUAGCAACUGAGCUGUGACCAGCUUAGCUGCACAGCUAAUGAGUUUCAUUAUUUAAUAAUAAAUAGCAACAUUUAAUUUGUUCAAUCAUUACUAUUAAUAAAAUGCUUUAAUUAAGCUGAAGGCUGGUGGAAAUAAGCCAGAUUGGGCUGAAGCUGCGGUGGAGGUUUAGCUCUCAUCUGUGCACUGAAAUGUGGCCGUCAGCAGACAGGAGAGCGAUGGGGUUUUGCCUUUGGUGCCUUCAUUCGCAGGUUAAUUAUGCACUGAAAUUGCUUUGGUUUGGGUUUUAAUUGAUGGGAGGGGGACAUCCCUGGUUGCUCUUGGUUGUGUCCGCAGGUGGUUGUCGCCGCUGUGGGGUGAGGAAGGCCGUCGUUGGUGCCUGGCUCCAGCUGCCUCCUGCGAGCGUGCAAGGCAACAGCAGAAAGCCCGUCUCUGCGUGACCACAGGCUCUCUGGGGUGGAGAGGAGAAACCGGAGUUUGGAGGAACUUAAAGAAGAGUUUCAGUGCACAAAAAGUCGAGAGUGACGCUUCACCUAAAAAUCCAGGAUCCUUCCAAUUUCCGGCACUUUCCCGGAUUAAAGCCCUGAGGCAAUGAGCAAAGGUGCGUGAAAAAAGUGAAAGUAGUUGCAGCUGCAGCCAUUGUCAUAAACCACACCAGGCAAUGAUGAUCUAUGGAUCCUCCUCAAAUCAACCACCAGCUGCUGUAGAAGCUGACCGAGGCUGGCCCUGACACUGUCUGGAUGGUGUAGCAGCUCUGCACGGUGAUGGUGCAGGCUGAAUUCACAAGCCAGGGCUUCAGUCCCAUCUUUCUCUGGUGCCCUGCACACCAGAGCAGGCAGCAUCUCUGCAAACUAUCCAUGUUGUCCCCAGUUCCUCCCUCUUCCUUGGUACUUUUUGUCCUUUAAAUGCGUCUUCAGCCCCGCCCGCAUUUUCAGCCAGGUUCUCCUCUCCUUCUGCAGGCCAGGACAUGGGGCUGUCUACCAGCACGAGGCUGUUGGCAUCCCUGUAGCCACACUGAGCCAGGAGGAGGCAUGGCUCCAGCCUGUAUCUCCUCUAGCAUCCCUUGCCCAAACAGUCACUCCCCAUUCUUCAGCUCAGGAGGUGUCUAAGUGAAGGAUUUGUAGCUUUCUGGAGCGUUCCAUCUGCUGUGGCUGUUCCAGAAGGUGCACGUGUGAAUCCACACAUAAAUAAUACCUUGUGUCAUCACCGAUGGAGAUAUUUGUCUUUGGUAGCCACAUGGCAGGUGGGCUGGAGGAGUCUCAUCAGCAUCCUCAGUGUUGCCAAGUGGCUGCAUGUGUUGUCACUACACAGGAGAGUAAUUCUGGGACACUGCGUGUCGCCGGAUGAAAAAGAGAUGAAGCUGUUGAACUGCAGUGAAAUUGCAGCUCGGAGUUUUUUUCCUGGCUGGAUAAAUUGAGGCAGGAUGGAGAUGGAGCCCACCAGAAACCACCACUUUGAAACCGAUGCUUGUACAUCCACUUGCCCCAAAGUGGCUGCCCCUAAACCUAGAAGGUUGCUUUGCUGCACAAGGGUGAGAAGUAUCUUCCAGC